rnacentral:rRNA from 1 species
AUGGCGGAGCUUGCGUCGGGCGCGGUGAGCUCGCUGCUGGGCGUCAUCCGCAACGAGGCCCUGCUGCUGGGCCGCGUUCGGCAUGACGUGCAGUUCAUCCAGGAGGAGAUGGAGAGCAUGCAGAGCUUCUUGACGCACCUGUCAAAGAAGGCGCCCGGCGGUGGCGAGCAGGACGAGCAGAUGCGCACGUGGAUGAACCAGGUCCGGCUGCUCGCCCAAGACAGCAACAACUGCAUCGACAUGUACCUGUACCGCGGCAACCCCGAGCUCCAUCUCGCCAGGGGCGGCCUCCGGCGCUACGUCUUCUGGCUUCCUUGGUUUGUGAACAAGAUGGUGGCGCAGCGUCGCGCGGCCAUCCAGCUGGGUGUGCUCAGGGAAAGGGCGCAUGACAUUGGCGAGCGGCGAGUCAGGUAUGGCGUUGAGGUCCCGGCGAAGGAGGCGGCAGCGGCACUUUCGCCUACAGCGGAGGAGCAAGCAUCCGCAUCAUCCGCUAGUUCCGGAGAUGAAAAAGAAAAGAGCAAUGAUCAACUCAUGCUAGCAAUGGCAACGACUAACCAUUCUGGUGUAAGAGGGACAUUUUACCAGCCUCGUACGCCGGAGAACAUUAGGGUGAAGCUGGCUGAAUGGAUAGAGGAUGUCGCGCAACACCACAUUGCUGAGGGGGAACCAAUACCAUCGGUCGCCGUUGUGGCACCGGAUAAGGAGGAAACCCUGGCUAUUGCGAAGGAAGCUUCGGGAAUGUGGGGAAAACGUUGUCCAGGCAGGCGCAGUGUCAUGGUCGACAUCCCAGCAGUGCACUUGUUUGCUCGAGUCCUUCGAACUCGGGACAUUCUGUACUACAUCCUGCGGAAGCUUCAAUCUGCCGAACACCGGCCCCAGCAACAGGAAGAUCAAGUCAGUGAAGAGGAGGCUGAAAAAAUAAAAACUGAUAUUCGCUUACAAAAAUGGAAGCUGCUCGAUGAAGUCACAGAAAAAAUCAAAGCAAUGAAUGUGGACAGCAAGUUUGAAGAAAUCAAGAACACCAUGGAAAAAAUGAAGGGCGGACAGCUGCAGAUCAACCUGGAACAAAUGGAUGAAGACCCGCUAGGUCUGCCAGAAUCCGUUAAAGAUGAACCCUUAGGCGUACUCCUCCAAGCGCUGUGGCAGCUCAAGCACAAGCCAGCUGAAGGUGCGCCUGCUACCAAAACAAGACCUAGAAAGGAAGGAAGACACAAUCAGAGACCUAGAAAGGAAGGAAUACACAAUCACGCACGAGGCUAUCAUCAAGGGAACAGCCAAGAAGCUUAA